GCUUAUGGGCCAUACCAGCCUGGCUAUGCCCGAUCUUGUCUGAUCUCGGAAGCUAAGCAGGUUUGGGCCUGGUUAGUGCCUGGAUGGGAGACCGCCUGGGAAUGCCAGGUACUCUAAGCU
rnacentral:rRNA from 1 species